UCCUGGUUAACCCAGGCAGUCUCGUUAGAGUUCCCAUCCGAAAUGCUGGCAACUAACGAUAAGGGUUGCGCUCGUUGCGGGACUUAACCCAACACCUCACGGCACGAGCUGACGACAGCCAUGCAGCACCUGUGUAUAUGUCCCGAAGGAAAACGCUAUCUCUAGCGCUGUCAUAUACAUGUCAAGCCUGGGUAAGGUUCUUCGCGUUGCAUCGAAUUAAACCACAUGCUCCACUGCUUGUGCGGGUCCCCGUCAAUUCUUUUGAGUUUUACCCUUGCGGGCGUACUCCCCAGGCGGCAUACUUAACGCGUUAGCUACGGCACAGCCGGGGUUGAGUCCGGCUACACCAAGUAUGCAUCGUUUACGGCUAGGACUAC
rnacentral:misc_RNA from 1 species